GUGCUCACUUCGGCAGCACAUAUACUAAAACUAGAAUGAUCCCAAGAAGAUUAGCAUGACCCCUGUGAAAGGUGACAACCAAAUCUCUGAAGCACUGCAUAUUUUU